rnacentral:lncRNA from 1 species
AAUUUUAUUCUUGCGUCACCAAUGAUUAUGAUAGGGUUUUUCGUAUUGUUUUAAUGAGAUUGAGAUGUUUGUUAGGAUUAUGAAGAUCUCACAAUAAUAAAGGUGAUGCUAAAGUAACACUGGAAAAAUGAUUGAGUUGAUUACCUUUAUACCAUACGGUCUCAGUUUCAUUUUCUUGUAAUUAUUCUAUUUUCUUUUUUUCUUUUUCAUUUUCUUGUAAUUAUUCUAUUUUCUUUUUUUCUUUUUCAUUUUCUUGUAAUUAUUCUAUUUUCUUUUUUUCUUUUUCAUUUUCUACUUAUAAUUAGUAUUUCAACAUAUUUUUUAUUCUGUAUAACUUAUGUUAAUUGUUUAAUUAUCAGAAUAUAGAAGGUGACAUUUUAUGUUCUUUAGGAUAUAAGUAUAUAUUUAAUUAAUUUUGAUGUUCAAUACAUAUCUUUCUAAACUAUUUAAUGUCAAGGGUUGUUACUCAUUACAUGUUUGAUUGAUUUAUAUAAAUGAGGAUGUACUUAAUAGAAAUAUUUAGCUUACAUUAUUUAAAAGAAAUCUCUGGUUCAUAUUCACUUUAUGAUUGUAUAAACAAAAUACAAAGGGUAAAAAAAUAUGUACGGCUGAAAAAUUGUCAUAUUUUCCUUUUUUUUCUAUCUUUUAUGAGUAAUUUUCUUUCUUAUCUAUCAAAUGUACAAAUCAAGUGAUUUCAGAUAUAGAUUGAUCUUUUGAAGGUUACACAUCUUUAACUUGUUUAUUUUAACAAAUCAAGUGAUUUCAGAUAUAGAUUGAUCUUUUGAAGGUUACACAUCUUUAACUUGUUUAUUUUGUCACUCUAUUCAUCUAGGUUUCCUCUUAUUUUCAAUUUUAUUCUUGUAUCACCAAUGAUUAUGAUAGGGUUUUUCGUAUUGUUUUGAUGAGAUUGAGAUGUUUGUUAGGAUUAUGAGGACCUCACAAUAAUAAAGGUGAUGCUAAUGUAACACUGGAAAAAUGAUUGAGUUGAUUACCUUUAUACCUUACAAUCUCAUUUUCAUUUUCUUGUAAUUAUUCUAUUUUCUUUUUUUCAUUUCCAUUUUCUUUUAACUAUUCUAUUUUCUUUUUUUCUUUUUCAUUUUCUACUUAUAAUUAGUAUUUUAGCAUAUUCUUUAUUCUGUAUAACUUAUGUUAAUUGUUUAAUUAUCAUAAUAUAGAAGAAGACAUUUUAUGUUCUUUAGGAUAUAAGUAUAUAUUUAAUUAAUUUUGAUGUUCAAUACAUAUCUUUCUAAACUAUUUAAUGUCAAGGUUUGUUACUCAUUACAUGUUUGAUUGAUUUAUAUAAUUGAGGAUGUACUUAUUAGAAAUAUUUAGCUUACAUUAUUUAAUUGAAAUCUCCCGUUCAUAAUCACUUUAUGAUUGUAUAAACAAAAUACAAAGGGUAAAAAAAUACGUACUGCUGAAAAAUUGUCAUAUUUUCCUUUUUUUUUCUAUUUUUUAUUAGUAUUUUUCUUUCUUACCUAUCAAAUGUACAGAUCAAGUGAUUUCUGAUAUAGGUUGAUCUUUUGAAGGUUACACAUCUCUAACUUGUUUAUUUUGUCAUUAUAUUCAUAUGUGUUUCCUCUUAUUUUCAAUUUUAUUCUUGCGUCAACAAUGAUUAUGAUAGGGUUUUUUGUAUUGUUUUAAUGAGAUUGAGAUGUUUGUUAGGAUUAUGAGGAUCACUUAAUAAUAAAGGUGAUGCUAAUGUAACACUGGAAGAAUGAUUGAGUUGAUUUCCUUUAUGCCAUACGGUCUCAUUUUUAUUUUCUUGUAACUAUUCUAUUUUCUUUUUUUCUAUUUCAUUUUCUAUUUAUAAUUAGUAUUUUAGCAUAUUUUUUAAUUUGUAUAACUUAUGUUAAUUAUUUAAUUAUCAGAAUAUAGAAGAUGACAUUUUAUGUUCUUUAGGAUAUAAGUAUAUAUUUAAUUAAUUUUGAUGUUCAAUACAUAUCUUUCUAAACUAUUUAAUGUCAAGGUUUAUUACUCAUUACAUCUUUGAUUGAUUUAUACGAUUGAGGAUGUACUUAAUAGAAAUAUUUAGCUUACAUUAUUUAAUAGAAAUCUCUGGUUUAUAAUCACUUUAUGAUUGUAUAAAGAAAAUACAAAGGGUAAAAAAAUACGUACUGCUGAAAAAUUGUCACAUAUUCCUUUUUUUUUUCUAUCUUUUAUGAGUAAUUUUCUUUCUUAUCUAUCAAAUGUACAAAUCAAGUGAUUUCUGAUAUAGGUUGAUCUUUUGAAGGUUACACAUCUCUAACUUGUUUAUUUUGUCACUAUAUUCAUCUGUGUUUCCUCUUAUUUUCAAUUUUAUUCUUGCGUCACCAAUGAUUAUGAUAGGGUUUUUCGUAUUGUUUUAAUGAGAUUGAGAUGUUUGUUAGGAUUAUGAGGAUCUCACAAUAAUAAAGGUGAUGAUAAAGUAACACUGGAAAAAUGAUUGAGUUGAUUACCUUUAUACCAUACGGUCUCAGUUUCAUUUUCUUGUAAUUAUUCUAUUUUCUUUUUU